rnacentral:misc_RNA from 1 species
GCGAUACCGAACAUCAUUUCUCUCGAGUCGGUCGAUGGCCUCAUUCACUUGAUCCAUCUUCACCAUCUCGAUCAUGGAGGUUAAACCCUUCUCCGCGCAGAACUCUAACAUCUCUUGUGUUUCCUCCAUGCUCCCUAUGAAGCUCCCAGCUAUUGUUUUCCUUCCAAGCAUCACCGCCGGAGUGACAAACUGAAGCGGCUGGUUAAUAACCCCCAGCAGUAUCAACUUCCCGUCCAUCUUCAACAGCGACAGGUACGGCUCCAGCGGGUGGAACACCGGCACCGUAUCAAUAAUAUAAUCAAGACUAUCCGCCGCCGCCGCCAUCUGCCCCUCAUCGGAGCUGAUCAGA